GGCUCAGUGGUAGAGUCCACAUGCUUUGCAUGUAGAAGGUCCCUGGUUCAAUCCCUGGCAUCUCCA